rnacentral:tRNA from 1 species
GUUAGAGAAGCAAACAGGCCAUGCAAAGGACCUAAACCCCUUCAAAAGAAGUUCAACUCUUCUCUCUAACU